UCAGCAGAAUUACAUAGACGCGUCACUUUAGCUGCAGACACUGCGGAAGAAUGAUGUGGAUAUAUGUAUUGUGUAUCACUUUAACAGUACAGGCGGUUUUCGCUGGUCCACAAUCAACAGAAACUACAACCCUGAUGCCUUUUGGACAUGGUAUCGACGUACCAGUGAAAUGCCGUUCCGGUUACGUCAAUGUCAACGGGAAUUGCGUGAAGACUGUCAAGCUACCAACGGAUGGAAGGAGAUAAAGUGAUGAGUACCACGAGAACAACAAAGAAUGGUGCACCAAAAGAAAAGUUUCAUCCAAAAAGACAUAAUUUGUAAGUUUUGUAAAUUCAGUAUCAAAACUUGUUUUAAGUUUUGACAACAGAAUAUUAAAUCAAAUUAGAUAGUUAAA